UGCUUAUUUACUAUGAUAGUAUGAUUAUGCCAAGUUUUGGUAGUGUUAUCUUGUGCAGGGACCUGCCUUUUCAGAUAUAUCAAAAGCAGUGCAAUCUGAACAUGUUCCUUCAAUAUGUUUGUUAGUUGCAUCAAUUGAAUUCAGAGGUCUACAGGCCUAUGGCGACUUCAAGAGGUUUUAAGACAUUACAAAUGGCUAGAAUAUUUGGAAACUGAUUUUGUUUUCGGUUUUAAGUCGCUACAAAUGGCUAGAAUAUUUGGAAACUGAUUUUGUUUUCAGUUCAUCUUCAAUUGGGUCGGUCACUGCACAGUUUUUGGCUGUAUUUUUCAGCAGCAUCUGGAAAGACAUCAGUGCAGUUCUCUGAGUCUGAGGAGUCUGAUCCAGAUUGGGGCUGCUGGAGUGCAAGUCAAGAGAUAAGAAACCCAUCCAUUAAAAUCAUUUUUCCCACAAUUGAAAGAAUGAAAAAUGCAAGUUGUGGAAUCUUAGCUUCAAAAUACCUUCUGUGUUUCUCGCAGGUAUCCUGACCUUUUGAUUACCUGGAAGAUAGUCUAGUGGCUUUUAACUGGAUCCUAUGUAUUAUUUUGCUUUGUUUGUUUGUUUGUUUGUUGUUUUUCUUCUUAAAAAAAAAAAAAAUUUGUUCGUGAUUUUUUUAUUUCAUCAAGGUAUGGGAUAAUAGUAUAGGUGUGCAACUAAGUCC